GUUUCAAGGUGGAGAAAUAUGUUUUGCCUAAAUUUGAUGUAAAAAUAACGGCAGAUGAUGUCAUCAGUAUUGAGCAGGAAGAAAUAAAAGCUGAAAUAUGUGCAAAGUAUACAUAUGGACAACCUGUGCCAGGCAGUGUCAAAGUUAAGGUCUGCCGACUUCUUAGUCGCUAUUAUGUUGCUAUAUCUACUCCUGAUAAUCCAGAGGGACUUCCUGACAUAACACCCCCAUGCUACGACGAAACA